AUCAGACUUUGCUGGAAGUGGAAGUCCUUUGCUCUGAGAAGUGACUUUUACUGCACCAGGUUUUUCUUCUGCCUGUGUACCAUCAGGAAGAUAAUCUCCUGGGGAGGACCUAGAUAUGGACAUGUUUUUUUUUGUUUUCCUUUGGAACAUACUACACCCUGCUGUUGGUGAGCAACUGACUUCACUGGAAUCUACAGAUUCCUCAGCUAAGGUCACCCUCAAGCCCAUUUCCCCUCGGCUUCUGCAAGACCCUGCCUCUAACCUCCACCAUUGGAGAGGUCCACAAGUCAGAGCAAGAUUUUUUCUCCUUUUCAUGUCCCUGAGCUUAACAACCCAUCACACUGACAGCAAGCAGGAUGCCCUGGUGCCUAUCGCCGACAGUUGCUUGAUAUAGUCCCGGCAUGGUUGUUGGCAGCAGUGGUGCACACAGGGUCCUGGCAGGCAGCAAACUGGGAUUCCCCAGCAGCCCUGCUCUAUCAGAAAGCACCAUAACCUUCACUCUUUGUUGCUGCAGUUCCUUCUUAAAAGCUCACAUUUAUCCCUUGCAAGCACAUUUGCCACUUCAAAUCUAUUUCCCCAUGAGACGUUUUGCUUUAUAAUAGCAACCUGUUUGCAUUUCUUGGACUGCCACAUAUUGUUCAUGCUUUUUUUACACAGCUUGGGGAAAAAAAAAGCCCUCUACCUUUCCCUUUCAGAUUCUUAUUUCUCUAUCUGGAGCUUUCUGCAAAAAUUCC
rnacentral:lncRNA from 14 species